GGGAAUGCUUUUGAGAAUGCUGCAGAUAUUUAUUUAUCUAACGGGUCAUGAUGGUCAGCUUAGAAUUGGGAUGUAUACAAUGAGACGAGAACGAAGAUAGCUUUUGAUUUUAGCAAACACAAGCUUUCAUUUUGUCGACCCUUAGAAGCUUCAUGGAUGCAAAUCUUCAUUUUUCCCUUAUAAACAUUUAGUUCAAAGCUUCUAAGCAGAGAAAUGACGAAGCAACAUCGGUUUAUUCGAAAUAAGUAUACAACAUCCCCGGUUUAUUCGAAAUAAGGGUUAAAGGAUCCAAAAGAAGCAGUUUGAGAAAAUAGAUAUAAAAAGAGUAAGAGCAACAAAAGGAGUAAGCUAACGUAAAAUAUCCAUCGAAAAUACACCUCCUUACUUGAAACUCUAAAAAAUAUGUCGUUUACUUCAAUAAAUACUACAAUUUUUGUUCAGCCUCCAUAACUCGAUAGAGAGAAAAACGAUUAACUUAUAGCUUCUAACAUGUUUACAAAAUUUUAUUUGAAUACUAAUCUUUGUGCUUCAUGUUAUUCAUCGUCAUAUAAUUUUUCUUUCCUCUUGGUGUAGUGCUUAUUUAGAAAGCAAUAUAAAAAAAAUUCCUACAGCUUUGUUAACUAACCUUACUUCACCUUUUAAAUCAGUAUUAUUCUUUAAUUUUAUUUUAUUUUAUUUUCAAUUUUGGUAAAUUUGGAAUAACUUUUUCUUCUUCUAAUUAUUACAAUUGCUAAUUAUUGAAGAUGAUCUUAUAAAAGACGUUAAGUUGGACUUGGAAAAUAUGGAAAUAUCCUGUAAACUUAAAAUAUCAAGUAUAUAACUUGGAAAACAUCAACAACUACCAUUGAAUAACGUAAAUCAGUAUAGACCAUAAAGAGAGUUUGAUGCUAGUUCUGGUUUGUUUUCAACGUAUAUAAAUUUAACAACAUGAUUUAGUAAAUUUACUAAAAAUGAUAAUUUUACUUAAAUUAUAAAAAACCUUAAAACCUAAGCGUUAAAUCUUUUACGAUACGUGAUAACAUGUUGAACUUAUACACCACUGACGGACCACAAAGGGAUUGGAUGCUCGGCCCAGUUUGUUUUCAACGUAUUAAAAUUUAACACUUAGAUUCUACCAAAAAAUUAAAACUAUUUUUACUUGAAAUUUGAUUUAAAGAACCUUGAUAUUUAGUUGUAAAUCAGAAAAAUAGAAAUUAAUACAUAAAAUCUUUUUUUCUUUAUGUAUCUUUUUAUAUCGAAAUCAUUUUUUCUUAAUUUUUUUUUUUUUUUAAUUAGAAAAGUUGAGAUAUACCUGUAAUAUUAAGUAUCUGAAGGUUGAGGCGACUCAGUCCGUGGUCGUUUCUGAAGUUUGCUACACGUAAAUAGAAAACAAACCCAUUCAGUUCUGUAAGUUGCAGACAGGUAAUAAUAAGUAUAUAUGUGGUCGAGAAGCAACAUGAGCUCAGUAGUUAUAAAAUAAAACAAUGCCAAUGGAAACUCGCAUAUCAAAUCAGUAAUAUACCUCAGGUUAUAAAUGUAGUAAUGCUGAUGGGUUUGAUAAUUGUGGGGAAGUCCUCUUGAUCCAAAUCUUCAUGAUAAUAGAGAACAACAUCAAUGACCUGCAAAGACACUAAUAACCAAAAUCAAAAGCAAGAGAACAACAACAACAGAGAAGUAGAAACUAGUAGCUCACCUAUGAGAUUCAGUUCUUUAAGUUGCAGACAGGUAAUAAUAAGUUUAUAUGUGAUCGAGAAGCAACAUGAGCUCAGUAGUAAUAAAAUAAAACAAUGCCAAUGGAAACUCGCAAAUCAAAACAGUAUACCUCAGGUUAUGAAUGUAGUAAUGCUGAUGCUACAUGAUCCUUCUUCUUUUUGAUAAUUGUGAGGAAGUCCUCUUGAUCAAAUCUUCAUGAACUAUAGAGAACAUCAAUGACCUGCAAAGAAGAGAACAACAACAGAGAACAACAUCAAAGACCUGCAAAGACAAAAUCAAAAACAAGAGAACAAACAACAGAGAAGUAACCAAGAACAAACAUACCUCCUCCAAUCAAAAGGUCUGAAACUUCCUUGUCUGCAGAUCCAAAAUCGUAUAUGCAUAUAUACACACACCAAUGAGAUUCAGUUCUGUAUGUUGCAAACAGGUAAUAUCAAUUCUUUAUGUGGUCGAGAAGCAACAUGAGCUAUCAAAUAAAACAGAUGCCAAACUCGCAAAUCAGAUCAGUAUACCUCAGGUUAUAAAUGUAGUAAUGCUGAUGGUACAUGAUCCUUCUCCUUUUUGAUAAUUGUGAGGAAGUCCUCUUGAUCAAAUCUUCAUGAUAAUAGAUAAGAACAUCAAUGACAAAGACAAUGUAUAUAUACUAAUAACCAAAAUCAAAAACAAGAGAACAACAACAACAGAGAAGUAGAAACUAAUAGCUCACCAAGAACAAGCAUACCUCCUCCUAUCAAAAGGCCUGAAAAACCAUAUAAGAAUCUUAAGACCAACAUUGGCUUCCAUCAAUACGCUUAUGAUAUAUAUAAAGGAGACAGAGAGAAGCAAAUACGUGAAUCUUAAGACCAACAUUGGCUUCCAUCAAUACGCUUAUGAUAUAUAUAAAGGAGACAGAGAGAAGCAAAUACGUGAAUCUUAAGACCAACAUUGGCUUCCAUCAAUACGCUUAUGAGAUUGUAAUUCCAAACAAACUGUAUCAAUCAUAUACUCUUAUGAGACUGUAUUUCCAAACAAACUGGACGCAAAUCAAAUCAAAUCAAUUGUAAUUCCAAAAGGCCAACAUGAUUGAUGAACUAAAUAGUAUCACAAAUUGGCUUGCAUCAAUCGUAUACUCUUAUGAGAUUCAGUUCUGUAUGUAGCAGACAUAAAAGUUCUCAACUUCUAAGACACAAGACAUAAAAACCAGACCAUAUGCAGACAGAGGAACAAGAAGAGAUAGAGCGGUACCUUGAAGGGAAAAGAGGAAGCAAGAGCACCACCAUGAGGACGAAGCAGAGGUUAGAUAGAUCCAAAAACGAACCAGAAGAAGAGAGAUCAAAAGCCUCGAUCAUCACCACCACGUCUCAAGCCUCAGCACCCUAUGAUCAUCAAACUAAAUUGUAUAAAUAAUAAAUAAUAAGAGAUUCCUGUUUUUGUAUUUUACAAUAUUGAGUAACACAACAUGGUGGAAGCAAGAGCACCACGUCUCAUGAGGACGAAGCAGAGGUAGAUAGAUCCCAAAAGCCUCGAUCAUCACAACCACGUCUCAAGCCUCAGCAUUCUAUGAUCGCCACCACGUCUCAAGCCUCAGCACCCUAUGAUCGCCGUGUUGCAUAUCUCGAUCAUCAACGAGAGGAAAGCUAUAAAGUUUGAAGCUUUUUCACCGAAGAUGAAUCAGAGAAUCGAAGGAGAAGAGGGAACGAACUUAAGAGAUUGAUUUGUAGGGUUUAGAAAGAAGAAGAAGAAAGAACGGAGAAGAAGAAGUGAGAAACAGAGAAUUUUGAUUUCUCGAUCUCGGUUUGAGUUGAGAGAAUUAAAGAGUUAAUUUUUAAUAUUUAUAAGCGAAAUUAAUUAAGAGGUUAAUUAAAAGAAAAGGAAAUUGACAACGGUUAUAUUAAUAGGAGUGUAAGGAAAUCAAUACCGAGAUUUUGUUUCUGUUAAAUUUUCUUCAUCAUAACGGUAACAAUUUAAUUUCAAUAUGUAAAACGUUUUGAACCUUUUUAAUUUUAAAAGAGAAUUUGGCAAAAAAUAUAUUUUUUUAAACCGUUAGUUAUGUUAUUAACUAAUUGAACUAUUUUAUUGACCUAUUCUUGAGGAGCUAUUUUACUAAUUGUAAAUUAUCAGACCAAGUUUUAUAUAAUAAGUUUCUCCAUUACAUUAGGCAUGACAACGGCUACGGUUUGUUGACCAUCAAUUACGGUUAUAAAUUUUCUUUAACCAUAACUUUAACCUUUAUAUAUACGGUUAAAACGGUUACGGUUAUAUACGGUUAUAGUUAAAUCCGGUUACGGUUAAAUACGUUUACGGUUAUUUGAUGAUUAUAAUAUAGAUAAUCAUAUAUAUAAAAGUAAGGUUUCACUCUCUACUUAUUGGUGGAAAAAUAUUUAAGGCUUAAUUUUUUUUUUUUAAAUAAAUAAAGAAAUGUUUAUGACAAUCAUUCAAUAAAAAAUUUAAUUACACUAUAAGUUAUAAUCAAAUGGCAAAGAAGAUAAAAGAACUUAAUCAUAUAUCAUUCAACAAAAUAAAUAAAUGUUUAUGAUAAUCAUUCAAUAGAAAAUUUAAUUACAGUAUAAGUUAUAAUCAAAUGGCAAAGAAAAUAAAAGGACUUAAUCAUAUAUCAUUCAACAAAAUAAAUAAAUAAAUAAAUGUUUAUGACAAUCAUUCAAUACAAAAUUUAAGUACACUAUAAGUUAUAAUCAAAUGGCAAAGAAAAUGAAAGUACUUAAUCAUAUAUCAUACAACAAAUUUUAUAAGGCUUAUUGGUGGAAAAUUAUUUAAAAUCAUAUAUAUAAAAGUAAGGUUUCACUCUCUUUAUUGUUCCAUUUUGUAUUUAUUUUUAAAAUAUAAUAUUUAUUUUUAAUUAAACCAAAAAAACAUAUUUAAUCAUAUACAUUAAUCCAUACUUUAGAUUCACACUUUACUACUAAAAUUAAACUGAAAAUUAUAUAAAUUUCCAAAGACUAUUGGUUUUCUUUAUUGAAUUCCAAUUAAACACACUAUAAAUUAUAAUUAUAACUCCUCUAAUUAAAUUAUUUUAAAAAUUUAACUUACAUCACUUCUUAUCAUAUAAAUAGUCAUUCUCACAUCCUUCUCUACCAUAUCUCAUAUCUUCAUUAUUCUCUUUGUUUUUUUUUUAAAAGUUCUUGCAUGGGGUGAAAACUCAUUUAAAAUAUCAUUGUAAGAGUUUGAUUAAUUAUUUAGUUUAAACUUUUGUUUUCAAUUUUAUUUAUUUUUUGUUUUUAUGUAUUUCUUUAUGUCUUCAUUUUUUUAUAUUUUUAAAUGUAAUACAUAUGUAUAAUAAUAUUUUAUGCUUUUUUUUUUCGUCAAACAAAUAAUUAUAUUUGAUAAUUGUGAAAAUCAUAAUACAAAUGUUCUGAAAGCCAUGGAGGCGGGUUCAAAAAAUCAGAAUAAAAAGGAACCAUAUUACAACCAUAAGAAGCAAGCACAUGAGCCACUUUGUUACAAUGUCUAUUACAAAAUUCAAAAGAAAUAUUGGAGAACUUAGUAGCCCACACAAUAAUAUUUUAUGCUUAUAAGAAAAUCAAACUAAAGAAACCAUCUUCAUUAUUUUACAUUGGAUGUUUGUUUCUUUCUCACAUAUUCAUGUAUAUUUAUUUUAAUUUCAAAAGUAUGUAAUUUUUUAACAAAAUAAACUUUUUGUUAUAUAAUUAUCAAACCAAUUUGUAAGACAUUCUUUUAAGAAUAAUGAUCCUUAUAUUUAGUUUGUGAUUCAACAUGUAAUAAUAUAAACAACAUAAUAAUUUUUGUUAACUUUGAAUUUUAUACUUGAUUUCCUAUAUAAAAAAAAAUUUCAUAUUCAAUUUUCUAUCUAUUAUAUAUACUACGACGAUGAAAAAUAUAAUUAAACCUAGAGAUAUAGCUUAAAUUAAGAGGAAUAUAAAAACAAAUUAAAAAUAAAAUUAUUCUUUGGGAAUUUUUUAAGGUUUCUCCNNNNNNNNNNNNNNNNNNNNNNNNNNNNNNNNNNNNNNNNNNNNNNNNNNNNNNNNNNNNNNNNNNNNNNNNNNNNNNNNNNNNNNNNNNNNNNNNNNNNUAUUUUUAAUUAAACCAAAUAUCUAACACAUUUAGUCAUAUACUUUAAUUCAUACUUGAAAUCCACGCUUUACUAUUAAAUUGUAACUUAAAUUAUAUAAUCUUUCAAUUGACUAUUUGUUUCCUCCAUUCAAUUUCAGUUAACACACUAUAAAAUAUAAUUAUAACUCCUCUAAUUUAAUUAUUUUAGAAUUAUAACUUACAUCAUAUUUUAUCCUAUAAAUAUUCAUUGUUACAUCCUCGUCCACCAUAUCUGAUAUUCUCAAUAUUUCUUUAUUUAAUUUAUAAUGUUCUUGCAUGGGUUGAAAGCUCAAUUAAGAUAUCAUUGUAAGAGCUUGAUUAUAUAUUUGGUUAAAACUUUUGUUUUCAAUUAUAUUUCUUCUUUAUUUUAUGUACUUCUUCAUUUUUUCAUUGUUUUAUACUAUUAAAUAUAUAAUACAUAUGUAUAAUAAUAUUUUAUGGCUAUAAGGAAAUUACUUUAUCGAUGGGAUUCAAAACUAUUGAUUUCUGACCAUCGCACCAUAAGAAAAUCAAGCUAAAUAAACCAUCUUCAUUGUUUUACUUUAUAUGUUUUUUUCUUUCUCACAAAUUCAUGUAUAUUUAUUUUAUUUUCAAAGUAUGUAAUUAUUUUAACAAAAUAAUUUUUGGUUAUAUUCAAACCAAUUUGUAAGACAUUGAAAUAAAGAAAAAUUUUAUACACAAAUAAAGGUAAUUUGUGUGUAUAUUUAUAAGUUUACACACAUAUAUGGAUAAAUUUUAACAUUUUUAGUGGUUGUUUUGAUAAAGUUUGAAAAGGGGGUAAAUUUAAAAAGUGGUAUUUUUAAAAGGGUAUUUUCUAAAUUCUCCCAAAAUCAUUCCUAUUUUUAUCAUUAACAAUAUUAUUGUUUUAUCAAAAAAUACUUAAAAGCACAAAAAAAAUUACUAUCAAAAUUGAACAAUUAAUCAACGAAUAAAUUCAAAAGAUAUGGAUGUAUGCUUCUAUUGUAUGAUUUAAAUAAAUAAAAUGUAAAAAUGUCAUAAACAUUAAAAUUUAUUUAAUCUAUUUUUAUAAGUAAUAAAUAAAUUAAAAUAAUUAAAUAAAUAUACAACAACCCGCGCAUAUGCGCGGGAAAUUACCUAGUAUAUAUAAACAAAGUUUUAUAUUUUCUUACCAUAUCAAAUAAUGUUUAUUUUCAAUAUGAAAUAAAGGUAUUUAUAUGAUUCAAAUAUUUAUAGUAAAUUAGUUAAAAAUUAUUUUUAAUUAAUUAAAAACAACUACAAUUAAAUAAAUUAAUGGUUAUGAACCUAAAAUUAUUUAAAAUAAAUUAUUUUUGAUUUGAAUAAUGAAAAUGAGCAGUAGAGUGAAUUAGAAUUACUAGUUGACACAUUAAACCAUUUAAAACAUUAUUUUAAUGAAAUAAUUUUUAUUAAAGGUUAACCAUAUGGUUAUGGUUGAUAACGGUUACUUUUUAUAACCAUGACUAAUUUAUUUUUACGGUUAACGGUUACAAAUUUUAACUGUUUUAUACGGUUACGGUUUAAAAAUAGUUCAGUUACGGGUAAAUUACGGUUAAUAUUAGAUUUUGGUCAUGCCUACAUUAAACUUAAAGUAAUGGAACGAUAAUAUUGUGGCUUUGUAAACUUAUUUUUCAUAUUUUAUACCGAAUUAAAGUAUCAAGACCGACAUAUAAAUUAUACAAAGAUUGGCGAAUGGCACAGAGUUAUUAGCAUACCGGAUUUACUGAUAUUUGUAAGUUUUUAUUUAAUCUAAUUAUUUAAUUCGAUUUAUUAUUUGAUAUUUGUAAUUUUUAAUUUAUAUAAAUAUUCAAGUUUUUGUAAAAAAUAAUAAAAUUUUAAUUAUUAAAAAACUUAUUUUACCAAAAUCAUCGAGAAUUUAUGGACAAGAAAAACAAAGCAAAACUCGUAAUCGCUCAUAAUUAAUUGUCGGCUUCAUCGUCCUUUUGCUUCUUCUUCCACCAAAAUUAACUUUUUCCAGUAACGAAGCUAAAUUAAAAUUCGUUAUUAGGGUUCUGCUCCUACUACGCCGUAAUUUUGAUUCCUUUAGUUUUUUGAUUUCAGGGUCGAUAUGGAGAUUGAGAGAAACGUUUCAGUCCCUGGUAAGAAGAAUCUAGUUAAAGUCGAGUUCAAGCUUGGGACAGAGAGCUACAUCAUUGAUUCAUCAAACAAGGGUGAUACUGUAUUGGACCAAUUGGUUUCGAUGAAAGUUGAAAGUAUGAAGAUACUUAAAGAUUUUAUCACAAAGCAUAAUGUUCCAGAUGAUGAUGAUGUCCCCGACCAAAUCUUGUCUGAUGAUGAAGAAGGUGAUGAUGUUGCUUCUCCUGUAAUAUGUCCUGUGAAACCUAAGAAGACAAAGAUUUGAGUUCGUUUUUAGUUAUCACUACUGUCUUGUUAGCUGGUGAUUUGAUCUUGAACCUUUGUCAAAUUUUGUUAACAGUUUUGGGGUUUUCUAGAGAGAAUUAUGAGGUUUUGGAUCUUGCUAGUUGGAAUUUAGAAAUGGUGUUACUGAGUUUAUUACUGGAGAUAGGUGAUUGCAUUGCUUGAGAAGAGCAAAUCCAUUGAAUGAUGCAGUUUCUUAUCUCUGACGGAUAUAGUUGAGUUAUUCAAUAGCUCUACAUGGAACUUCAUCGAGACUCUUAGAACACUAAAGGGAAAUGCUUGACUCGUAUUAUGGUAUUAGGGGUAUUGGACAAGAAACGUAGAUGAUACAUAUUUCCUGUGAGUCUUGUGUUUAGAUAUUGUUUAGUGUUGUGUUCAAUUGAGUGGUAGACUUUGAACCUCUGUUAAUUUUGCUGUUUGUGCAACAGUUUUGUUUGUCUAAGAAGAAUAUGAUAACUUGGGUAAAACUAUGGAAAUGGGGUUUCUAAAUUCUUACUUGGAGGUUGACUGUGUUGUGAAGAGCAAAGCAUUGAGAGUUCAUUAUCUUGUUGAAGAGCUUGGGAGCUUUAGUGAGACUGGAAGAGCUUUAAGAGAACCAGAGGAUAAUGCUUGACUCGAUAUACUUAACAGAACCAUGGUAUUAAUGGAAUUAGAUAAAUGACUGAUAGGUUCUGGUUUAUUGGUUAGUGUUUGUGUUUAUGUGCUCGAUUGAUUUGGGAACUAGUAAAGUCUCUCCUGGUUAAGUUGCGUUUGCUAGCUCAGUAAGUGUAACUUACUAGAAUUGCAGAGUUGGGUGGUUAGAAAAGAUACAUGACUGAUAAGCCAUGACGGAUAGUGUUUGUUUAACUUACUAGAGUUGCAGAGUUGGGUAGUUAGAAAAGAGAUACAUGACGGAGAACCCCUGGUUUAUCUGUAUUGGUUAGUCACUUACCGUUAGUGUAUGUGUUCAUGUGUGCUUAGAUAUUGUAGGACCUUGCAAAGUGUCUCUCUGUAAAGAUGUGUUUUGCCAGCUCAGUAAGUCUUACUUGUUAGAGUUGAAGAGUUGGGGUUGGUAAGAAAAGUUCUCGUGUUGUUCCUGUGUUAAUUCACUGCAAUAUAAGAGUUUCUAGGACCUGAUGAAUUAGGACCAAUGGAAGACAGAGAUGGUUUGGGCAAUAGCCAAGGCCAGAGACAUGGGCUAAUGAAUAGUUCACCGAUGAUCUUUAAAGCUGUUUCAUAAAUCAAUUUAUCAAAGAAAGUUGGAUUUUGUUCACAUUCCUCACGAUUAGUCUUUCUAUUUUGUUGAUAAUUUGACAGUUACUAUAGUUAAGUAUCCUCUCAGACUCAGAUCGUAUAUUUGUGAUGUGAUACCGAAGUUCUGCGAAACAACCAUUUUAUACAGAAUUCAAUGUCUGCGAUAAAUAGAAACCUCACUAGUUGAAACGAAAAUCACAGAUAAACAAAUUUUGGAUGAAUGAAAACAGCAGAAUCAUUCCUAUAUCAUUCACAAUCUUAACACCAACAUUGUCUUCAACUCAUCAAAGCAUCGCUAAGCUCCAGCCACGCCACGAAAUAAAAAGAGAAAAACAGAUGGACUAGCACGCAUUAACCAUUACUACUCCAUCUUCUCGAGUUCUGACAUCCUUUCGAUGAUCGCCUGCAAGUAAAAAUUUGUUGCCAGCAUAUAAAAAGUUUAGCGGUUGAGCAAAGGAAUGUGUUAGUGAAAGAGGAAAGCCUGAAACAAAAAUCCAUACCCUUUUGCUUGUUUCUUGGAGCUCCCCAGCAAGAAUGAAUUCAUCGAGUAUCAGAUACACCUUUUAAAUGAAUCACAGAGAAUUGAUAGCAAGUAUUAGAGUACAAAAACAGAUCAAAUCUAGACACACAGAAGCAUCCACAUAGUUAGACACAAAUGGGGAAUGCAGAUAUAUAUUUAUCUAACGGGUCAUGAUGGUCAGCUUAGAAUUGGGAUGAAUACAAUGAGACGAGAACGAAGCUAGCUUUUGAUUUUAGCAAACACAAGCUUUCAUUUGAUAGACCGUUAGAAGCAUCUUGGAUAAAAAUCUUCAGAUUACCCUUAAAAACAUUUACACUAAACUUGUUCAAAGCACCUAAGUAGAGAAAUGAUGAAGCAAAAAUCCCAGGUUUAUUCGAAAUCAGUGGUUAUACAGCAUCAUAAGCUAAACUUUAAGGGUUAAAGGAUCCAAAGAAGCAGUUUUUGAGAAACUAAAUAUAAAAAGAGUAAGAGCAACAAAAGAGGUUUGGUACCUUGUGGAAAUUAAACACCAAAUCUAGCUCACAGACAUUGCUGAAGAAAUGGUCCAAAAUCUCCACAAACAAAUGGAUACACUCCAGGUAAGCCAACUCAUUUUCGGUUAUAUCCACGCACACGGAGAAAAACAAUCUAGUAUAUUACCUUGUGUGUUCUAAACUGAAAAUAGUUGCAGAACAGUUUUCUCAUUCUAGCUCACAGAACAAUAUUGGUUUCUUAAUCACCAUUUCAUGUCUCAUAAGACACAUAUCUACUUCUCUAUACAGAUAUUGAAUGAGUUGGAUUACUUCUACCUCAGCUUAUAACAACAUCUCAAACAACAACUAAUACCUCAACCAGAGAAACUUCGCAGAUUCGAAUUCGACAGAGCAAUGCUCCUAUACUGUGCUAGUAUCAACAGCCCUAAAUAUCAUAUACAAAACCUGGAUUAAGAAUCAUAUGCAUUCCUACAAUCUUGGUUCUUACUCACCUAAUUUUCAUGUCUCAUUAAGGUUUUUUCAAGUUCUCUAUAAAGAUCUUAAUACUAGAAAACUCAGCUCCAAUGCCUCAACUGAAGAAAUUUUUCAUAAUAUCUACAAAAGCAAUGGUUUUUUCAAUCAAAUCUACCAUAUAGUCUCUGGAGAACCCUAAUCUCAAUUGCGACUUUUAUGUUUAAGAUUGAAAACUUUUAAACCAAAAUCGGCUUUGUUGGUUAAAACCGAUCUUUCUAGAAUUUUAAGUUUUCGAUUUUGAACCAAACGUAAAAAAGUCCGUCGAAAAUACAACUCCUUACUUGAAAUCAUACCGUUUGUGUUCAGCCUCCAUAACUCCAUAGAGAGAAAAACGAUUAGCUUAGCUUCUAUCAUGAUUUAAAAAUUAUAUUUGAAUACUAAUCUUUGUGUUCAUGUUAAUUCAUCAUCGUAUAAUUUUUCUUUCAUGUUCGUGUAGUGUUUAUUUAGGAAGCAAGAUAAACAAUUCCUACAGCUUUGUCUAACCUUACUUCACCUUUUGAAUCAGUUAUAUUCUCUAAGUUUAUUUGUUUUAUUUUCAUUGGAAUAAUUUUCUAAUUAUUACGUUUGCUAAUUAUUGAACAUGAUCUUAUAAAAGUCGUUACGUCGGGCUUGGAAAACAUGGAAAUAUCUUGUAAACUUAAAAUAUCAUGUGUCGCCAAUAAAUAAUUAUAUAAGUAUGUAGAUUGGAAAACAUCAACAAAUCUCAUUGAAUAACACAAAUCAGUAUGAAAGAGUUCGAUGUUAGGUCCGGUUUGUUUUCAACAUAUUUAAACUUUUCAAAUUUUGUAUGUUAUAACUUUUCAAAAUCAAAAAUUUACUUAAAAGUUAUAACUUUACUUAAAUUAUAAAAAACCUUAAACCUAAGCGUUAAAUUUUUUACAAUACGUGAUAGCAUGUUGAACUUACACACCACUGACGGACCACAAAGGGACUGGAUGCUCGGCCCGAUUUGUUUUCAACGUAUUAAAAUUUAACACUUAGAUUCAACCAAAAAAAGAUCAUAUUUAAUUAUUAAAAAUUAAAACUAUUUUUACUUGAAAUUUGAAUUUAAAAACCUUGAUAUUUAGUUGUAAAACAGGAAUAUAGAAAUGUAAUUCAUAAAAUAUUUUUUUCUUUAUGUAUCUUUUUAUAUCGAAAUCAAUUUUUCUUAAUUUAUUUAAUUUUUUAAAAGUUAGAAAAGUUGAGAUAUUACCUGUGAUAUUUAAGAAUCCUGAAGGCUACAGCGACUCAAACGGUGGUCGUUUCUGAAUUUUGCUAAACGUAAUACAAAAACAAACCCAUCAGCGCAUUUCAUAAUUGUCAAAAAAUCAAAUUACUUUGAUAAAACUAAAGACAACUAUCACGAACCUGCUUAUAAAUAUUCUCCUAGUCUCUAAUGACUGAAGAAAACAGAGGAUCGAUGGAGAUCAUCAUAAAGACAUUCAUCGAGCCUUGAGUCACCAUCGAACCUUCUCCACCCUGAAACAAAAGCAUAAGACUCAGUUCAAAACAAAGAGAUGAAUGAUAAAUAUGAUACGUGAAUCACAAGGCUAUAACAUGUUUGAUGAUGAACUAAAAAGUACACAAAAUGGCUUGCAUUUGCAUCAAUCCAAAAUCGUAUAUGCAUUUACACACACCUAUGAGAUUCAGUUCUUUAAGUUGCAGAGAGGUAGUAAUUAUUCUAUAUGUGGUCGAGAAGCAACAUGAGCUCAGUAGUAAUAAAAUAAAACAAUGUCAAUGGAAACUCGCAAAUCAAAUCAGUAUACCUCAGGUUAUGAAUGUAGUAAUGCUGAUACUACAUGAUCCUUCUUCUUUCUUGAUAAUUGUGAGGAAGUCCUCUUGAUCCAAAUCUUUAUGAACUAUAGAAAAACCUGCAAAGAAGAGAACAACAACAGAGAAGAACAUCAAAGACCUGCAAAGACAAUAUAUAUAUACAAAUAUAACUAAAAUCAAAAACAAGAGAACAACAACAACAGAGAAGUAGAAACUAAUAGGUCUGAAACAAACAAACCUCCUCCUAUCAAAAGGUCUGCAACUUCCUUGUCUACAGAUCAAUGGAUUUGUCAGAAAACCAUAGCUAACACUGUAACGCUCACAUACAAAUACAUAUAACUCUAACAGUUAAGCAACAGAGGAAUUCUAACACAGAAAUACACAAAAAAUCAUAUAAGAAGGAGACAGAGAGAAGCACGAAUACUCAUUACAAAACCAAAGAGAGGAAUACUAACCAAAUACGUGAAUCAUCAUAAGGCAAACAUUGGCUUCCAGAUUCAAUGAAGACACAAAUCGAAUCAAAACAACUGUAAUUCCAAAAGGCAAAAGAAUGAUGAUUGCUACAUAAUAAACUCCUAAGACACAAGACCAUAUGCACAGAGAGGAACAAGAAGAGAUAGAGCUGUACCGUGAAGGGAAAAGAGGAAGCAAGAGCACCACCAUGAGGACGAAGCAGAGGUAGAUAGAUCCCAAAGACGAACCAGAAGAAGAGGAACCAAAAGCAGAGGUUAGAUCGCCACCACGUCUCAAGCCUCAGCAUUCUAUGAUCGCCCUGUUUGCAUAUCUUGAUCAUCAAACCGAAUCUCACAACAACAAAUCAACCAGAGAAAAGCUAUAAAGGUAGAAGCUUUACACCAACGAUGAAUCAGAGAUUCGAUGGCGAAGAGGGUUAUGCUUUGUUGUUCGACAAGAGAGAACGAACUAAGGAUAUUGAUUUGUUGAAGAGAAAGAAGAAGAAGUGAGAGAAACAGAGAAUUUUGAUUUCUCGAUCAAAAGGAAGAACGGAGAAGAAGAAAGUUUGAGAAGCUUUGAGUUGUUUAACAAAAAAGAAGAAGCUUUGAAUUGACAGAAAGAGUUUUUUUAAUUAAAAGAAAAGGAAACUGAUGAGAUCACAAUCACAACGGUUAUAUUAAUACCGAGAUUUUGUUUCUGUUAAAGUUUCUUCAUCACAACGGUAACAUUUUGAACUUGUUAAUUUUAAAAGAGAAUUUACUGAAAAAUAUAUAACUGUAAUUUAUAAACCUUCAGUUAUACUAUUAAUUCAUUGAAAAAUCCUAGAACUAUUUUAUUGACCUAUUCUGGAGGAGUUAUUUUACUAAUUAUUUCAUAAAAAAUGUUAAUUAUCAGACCAAGUUUUAUAUAAUAAGUUUCUCCUUAACACUACGCAUGACCACGGUUACGGUUUAUUAACCAUCGAUUACGGUUAUAAAUUUUCCUUAACCAUAACUUUAACCUUUAUGUAUACGGUUACGGUUACGGUUAUUUGAUGAUCAUGAUAUAGAUAAUAUUAUAAACUUUUUCCGGUAACGAAGCUAAACUAAAAUUCAUUAUUAGGGUUCUGCUCCUACAACGCCGUAAUUUUGAUUGCUUUAGUUUUUUGAAUUCAGGUUCGAUAUGGAGAUUGAGAGAAACGUUUCAGUCCCUGGUAAGAAGAAUCUAGUUAAAGUCGAGUUCAAGCUUGGGACAGAGAGCUACAUCAUUGAUUCAUCAAACAAGGGUGAUACUGUGUUGGACCAAUUGGUUUCGAUGAAAGUUGAAAGUAUGAAGAUACUUAAAGAUUUUAUCAUAAAGCUUAAUGUUCCAGAUGAUGAUGAUGUUCCCGACCAAAUCUUGUCUGAUGAUGAAGAAGGUGAUGAUGAUGUUGCUUCUCCUGUAAUAUGUCCUGUGAAACCUAAGAAGACAAAGAUUUGACUUCUUUUUUUAUUUAUCGCUACAUGUCUUGUUAAAUCUUGAACCGUUGUCAAAUCUGACUGUUUGUGUAACAGUUUUGGGUUUUCGAAGGAGAAUUAAGAGGCUUUGGAUCUUGCUAGUUGGAAUUUAGAUAUUGUGUUACUGAGGUUUUACUGUAGAUUGGAAUUCAGAUACACCUUUUAAUUGAAAUCACAGAGAAAUAGUAGCAAAGUAUUAGAGUACAAACACAGAUCAAAUCUAGACACACAGAAGCAUCCACAUAGUUAGACACAAAUGGGGAAUGCUUUUAAGAAUGCUGCAUAUAUAUAUUUGAAUUACACACUUUUAUUGGGAUGAAUACAAUGAGACGAGAACGAAGAUAGCUUUUGAUUUUAGCAAACACAAGCUUUCAUUUGAUAGACCGUUAGAAGCUUCUUGGAUGAAAAUCUUCAGAUUACCAUUAAAAACAUUUACACUAAACUUGUUCAAAACUUCUAAGCAGAGAAAUGACGAAGCAACAUCCCAGGUUUAUUCGAAAUCAGUGGUUAUACAACAUCAUAAGCUAAACUUUAAGGGUUAAAUGAUCCAAAGAAGCAGUUAGAGAAACCAAAUAUAAAAAGAGUAAGAGCAACAAAGGAGGUUUGGUACCUUGUGGAAAUUAAACACCAAACGUAAAAAAGUCCGUCGAAAAUACAACUCCUUACUUGAAAUCCUAAAGUUUGUGUUCAUCCUCCAUAACUCCAUAGAGAGAAAAACGAUUAGCUUAGCUUCUAUCAUGAUUAAAAAAAUUAUAUUUGAAUACUAAUCUUUGUGUUUCAUGUUAUUCAUCAUCAUAUAAUUUUCCUUUCAUGUUCGUGUAGUGCUUAUUUAGAAAGCAAGAUAAACAAUUCCUACAACUUUGUCUAACCUUACAUCACCUUUUGAAUCAGUUAUAUUCUCUAAGUUUAUUUGUUUUAUUUUCAUUGGAAUAACUUUUUUUCUUCUAAUUAUUACGUUGGCUAAUUAUUGAACAUGAUUUUAUAAAAGGCGUUACGUUGGACAUGGAAAACAUGGAAAUAUCGUGUAAACUUAAAAUAUUAUGCGGCGCCAAUAAAUAAUUAUAUAAGUAUGUAGCUUGGAAAAAAUCAACAACUCCCAUUGAAUAUCACAAAUCAGUAUGGACCACAAAGAGAGUUUGAUGCAAGGUCCUGUUUGUUUUCAACCAAUUUAAAUUUAACACUUAUAUUUUUUUUAAAGAAAAACAUUUUGUAUGUUAUUGUUAAAAAUCAAAACUGUACUUAAAAAUUAUAACUUUACUUAAACUAUAAAAAGACCUUAAAACCUAAGCGUUAAUUUUUUUACAAUACGUGAUAACAUGUUGAACUUAUACACCACUGACGGACCACAAAAGGACUGGAUGCUCGGCCCAAUUUGUUUUCAACGUAUUAAAAUUUAACACUUAGAUUUAACCCAAAAAUAAAAGAUUAUUAAUAAUUAAAACUAUUUUGCUUGAAAUUGAUUUAAAAAAACCUUGAUAUUUAGUUGUAAAUCAGGAAAAUAGAAAUGAAAAAAAAAACAUAAAAUAUUUUCUUCUUUAUGUAUAUUUUUAAAUCAAAAUCAAUUGCUCUUAAUUUAAUUUUUUAUGUAUAUUUUUAAAUCAAAAUCAAUUGCUCUUAAUUUAAUUUUUUUUUUAAGUUAGAAAAGUUGAAAUAUACCUGUUAUAUUUAAGUAUCCUGAGGGAUGAGGCGACUCAGUCCGUGGUCGUUUCUAAAGUUUGCUACACGUAAGUAGAAAACAAACCCAUCAGCUCAUUUCAUAAUCGUCAAAAAUUGAAUUACUUUGAUAAAACUAAAGACAACUAUUACGAUUUUACGAACCUGCUAAUAGCCUAAUACCUCUCUGUUCCUCUCUUCAAUAUAUAUAAAUCCUCCUAUAAAUUUUCUCCGAAGGUGUCUCAGUGGCUUGAUAGCCUUAGAUUCAAUAUCUUGUGACAUCGAUCUUGACUGAAGAAAACAGAGGAUCGAUGGAGAUCAUCAUAAAGACAUUCAUCGAACCUUGAGUCUCCACCCUGAAACAACAACAUAACCAAGUACACAACAUUCAUUAUCUAACACUGAAUACACAAAACCAUAUAAGACGACAUACAGAGUAAGACAGAGAACCACAAAUACUUUGUUCAAAACAAAGAGAUGAAUAAUAUAUAUAAUACGUGACUCACAAGGCUAUAACAUGUUUGAUGAUGAACUAAAAAGUACACAAGAUGGCUUGCAUUUGCAUCAAUCCAAAAUCGUAUAUGCAUUUACACACACCUAUGAGAUUCAGUUCUUUAAGUUGCAGACAGGUAAUAAUAAGUCUAUAUGUGGUCGAGAAGCAACAUGGGC
rnacentral:lncRNA from 1 species